GUACUCUCAUGCUCCCAAUGCUUUUGGAUCAGGAGUGGUGGACUUGGGUGUUGCUGCUUUACUGUGGCUCACCUCAAAUGGAGUAGUGCAACUCUUGGUUGGACAUAGUACGGCGUGAUAAGUGUCUUCGCCGGCGCCUCAUUAGAGGGUGGCCGAUCGGGAGCUCUGUGCUUCAAACCAUCUUCAGACAACAUCUGACA
rnacentral:misc_RNA from 1 species